UACGUAGGGUGCAAGCGUUGUCCGGAAUUAUUGGGCGUAAAGAGCUCGUAGGCGGUUUGUUGCGUCGGCUGUGAAAUCCCGAGGCUCAACCUCGGGUCUGCAGUGGGUACGGGCAGACUAGAGUGCGGUAGGGGAGAUUGGAAUUCCUGGUGUAGCGGUGGAAUGCGCAGAUAUCAGGAGGAACACCGGUGGCGAAGGCGGAUCUCUGGGCCAUUACUGACGCUGAGGAGCGAAAGCGUGGGGAGCGAACAGG
rnacentral:rRNA from 1 species